CGGUAAUUCCAGCUCCAAUAGCGUAUACUAAAGUUGUUGCAGUUAAAAAGCUCGUAGUUGGAUUUCUGCGGGGACGGAGCGGCCGGACGCAACUUGCGUCUCGAGCUAGCGCUUUCCCCGCAUCCUGCCGCGAACCGUGCUACCAUUAGUUUGGUGGCGCUGGGGAUCGGCUCGAUUACUUUGAGAAAAAUAGAGUGUUCAAAGCAGGCCACACGCCUUGAAUAAGUUAGCAUGGAAUAAUGACUAAGGACUUUGGUUCUUUUCGUUGGUGUUCGGGACUGAAGUAAUGAUUGAUAGGGACAGUUGGGGCGGUCCGUAUUCCAAAGCGAGAGGUGAAAUUCUUAGACCUUCGGAAGACGAACAGCUGCGAAAGCGUUCCGCAAGGAUGUUCCCUUUGAUCAAGAACGAAAGUUGGGGGAUCGAAGACGAUCAGAUACCGUCGUAGUCUCAACUAUAAACUAUACCAGCUAGGGAUCGGCCAACGUUUAAUUAUUCGACUUGGUCGGCACCUUAUGAGAAAUCAAAGCAUCUGGGUUCCGGGGGGAGUAUGGUCGCAAGGCUGAAACUUAAAGGAAUUGACGGAAGGGCACCACCAGGCGUGGAGCCUGUGGCUUAAUUUGACUCAACACGGGAAAACUUACCAGGUCCAGACAUAGGAAGGAUUGACAGAUUGAUAGCUCUUUCUUGAUUCUGUGGGUGGUGGUGCAUGGCCGUUUUUAGUCGGUGAAGUGAUUUGUCUGCUUAAUUGCGUUAACGGACGAGACCCCAGCCUGCUAAAUAGCGCGGCCGAGCUUUGCUCGGUACGAGCUUCUUAGAGGGACCAUGAUGCGCGAUAGCACAAGGAAGUUUGGGGCAACAACAGGUCUGUGAUACCCUUAGAUGUUCUGGGCCGCACACGGGCUACACUGGCGCCUGCAACGAGCAUAUCAGCUGGCCCGAGAGGGUCUUGGCUAAUCUUUGGAACCGGCGCCGUGCUUGGGAUUGACCAUUGCAAUUGUUGGUCAUGCAACGAGGAAUGCCUUGUAAACGCGAGUCAUCAGCUCGCAUUGAAUACGUCCCUGCCCCUUGUACACACCGCCC
rnacentral:rRNA from 1 species